rnacentral:rRNA from 1 species
UGGGGAAUAUUGCACAAUGGGCGAAAGCCUGAUGCAGCGACGCCGCGUGAGGGAUGACGGCCUUCGGGUUGUAAAACCUCUUUCAGCAGGGAAGAAGCGAAAGUGACGGUACCUGCAGAAGAAGCGCCGGCUAACUACGUGCCAGCAGCCGCGGUAAUACGUAGGGCGCAAGCGUUGUCCGGAAUUAUUGGGCGUAAAGAGCUCGUAGGCGGUUAGUCGCGUCUGCUGUGAAAACUCGAGGCUCAACCUCGGGCUUGCAGUGGGUACGGGCUGACUAGAGUGCGGUAGGGGUGACUGGAAUUCCUGGUGUAGCGGUGGAAUGCGCAGAUAUCAGGAGGAACACCGAUGGCGAAGGCAGGUCACUGGGCCGCAACUGACGCUGAGGAGCGAAAGCAUGGGGAGCGAACAGGAUUAGAUAGCCCCUGGUAGUCCAUGCCGUAAACGUUGGGCACUAGGUGUGGGUCCAUUCCACGGAUUCCGUGCCGCAGCAAAGCGCAUUAAGUGCCCCGCCUGGGGAGUACGGCCGCAAGGCUAAAACUUAAAGGAAUUGAC